AUAUGCCAUCUAAGUGCGGUCCACAUAGCUUGCGAGUGGUAACAUGGCCGCUCGUUUGCUUCAACAGUUUGUGCGGCGUUUAUGGGCCAAUGAGAUAUCCAGAUAUUUUUAUAUACAG